UUGCUCCACCCUUUAGGUGCCAUUUGGUGUCCCCGAAUGACCCCAAAGCAUCUUUUAGCCAACAUGCAAAGACAGUGGAGGGAAUUAUAUCUUACUGUUAUUAAAAAAAAAAAAAAAAGAAAAAGAAAGAAAAUUAAUUAUAGUAUAUUAGUAUAAUUACAUCACAUUAUUCAGUGAACAGACGAAUGGAUUCGUAGCACUGAUCUAUAAUAUAGCCAUAUAUAGAUCAGUGAUUCUUAGGCAUUUUGCCUUCUUCAUUUAAAAAUAAAUAAAAUAAACAAAUAUAAGAAAAUUAAUUAAUAAUAAAGAAAUAAAUAUAUACCAUUCAAUAUUUUUGAUCAAAUAAUGAAUGAUUAAAUCAACUGACUAAAUCGCCUAAGGUUAAUUGUUGUCUGAUGAAGUUUGAGAGGUGGAGCUGGUGACAUGUUGGGUGUGGCAGCUCCUCGCGUUAUAAAAAGACCCCUUAUCCUACACCUAAAACUCUGCUCUUGUAAUAACAAGGUGGAAAGGAACAGAAAAUGAGUUUGACAGCUAAGGAUAAAGCCUUGGUCAAGGCCUUCUGGUGUAAAGUCGCCAUAAGAAGUCUGAUGCCAAAGGCCAAGAAGCUCUGGGAAGAACACUUGCUGUCUACUCUCAGACUAAUAUAUUCUUCAGUGGUCUGACUCUCUCAGCUCACCCCAGGUGAAGAAACAAAUGUGAUGAGAGCCAUCCCUGAUGCUGUGGGCAAAAUGGAUGAACUUAUUGGUGGACUGAGCUCCUUGAGUCAUCUCCAUGACACCGGUUCGCCUAGAUCCUGAAAACUUUAAGGUGAGAGUCUUGCUAAUGUGCUGUUUAUGCAGUUUUAAUCCUUUUACCUGAGUAGACCUUCAUUUAAGGUAUUGAGCUAUAGGCUACACCCAAAUCAGGGUAUGGAGAACUUUAAAUCGAAAUCAGACAUACAAGAUGUGAAAUAAAAUGUAAAUUGUUAAUUUCAUUUACUAGUUUAUUUUUCUAGAUUUUGUCCCAUAACAUCCUCGUGACUCUUGCAGUUAAAUGACUUCACCGCAGAAGUGCAUGUGGCCGUGGACAAGUUCCUUGUGGCUCUGUCUGCAGCCCUCGCUGAUAAAUACAGACAAGCUCACCAUUCCGAGGCUUCUCGUUUAUCUGCAAACAGAGGCACUUCAAGUAAUAAAGCUAAAAUAUCAGAUGCAAUUAAUAAAAUCUAUAACAAUCAAAAA